GGAGGAAGGUGGGGAUGACGUCAAGUCAUCAUGGCCCUUACGAGUAGGGCUACACACGUGCUACAAUGGCAUAUACAAAGAGAAGCGACCUCGCGAGAGCAAGCGGACCUCAUAAAGUAUGUCGUAGUCCGGAUUGGAGUCUGCAACUCGACUCCAUGAAGUCGGAAUCGCUAGUAAUCGUGGAUCAGAAUGCCACGGUGAAUACGUUCCCGGGCCUUGUACACACCGCCCGUCACACCAUGGGAGUGGGUUGCAAAAGAAGUAGGUAGCUUAACCUUCGGGAGGGCGCUUACCACUUUGUGAUUCAUGACUGGGGUGAAGUCGUAACAAGGUAACCGUAGGGGAACCUGCGGUUGGAUCACCUCCUU
rnacentral:rRNA from 1 species